UACGUAGGGCGCAAGCGUUGUCCGGAAUUAUUGGGCGUAAAGAGCUCGUAGGUGGUUUGUCGCGUCUGCCGUGAAAACCCGAGGCUUAACCUCGUGGCUUGCGGUGGAUACGGGCAGACUAGAGGUAGGUAGGGGAGAACGGAAUUCCCGGUGUAGCGGUGAAAUGCGCAGAUAUCGGGAGGAACACCGGUGGCGAAGGCGGGUCUCUGGGCCGAUACUGACGCUGAGGAGCGAAAGCGUGGGGAGCGAACAGG
rnacentral:rRNA from 1 species